GUAGUUGACUCCGUGGCUCGAGACGACGCUGGCGGCGUGCUUAACACAUGCAAGUCGAGCGGUAAGGCCCCUUCCGGGGGUACACGAGCGGCGAACGGGUGAGUAACACGUGAGUAACCUGCCCCUGACUCUGGGAUAAGCCUGGGAAACUGGGUCUAAUACCGGAUAUGACCUCGUGCUGCAUGGUGUGGGGUGGAAAGGUGUUUUUCCGGUCAGGGAUGGGCUCGCGGCCUAUCAGCUUGUUGGUGGGGUAAUGGCCUACCAAGGCGAUGACGGGUAGCCGGCCUGAGAGGGCGACCGGCCACACUGGGACUGAGACACGGCCCAGACUCCUGCGGGAGGCAGCAGUGGGGAAUAUUGCGCAAUGGGCGGAAGCCUGACGCAGCGACGCCGCGUGGGGGAUGAAGGCCUUCGGGUUGUAAACCUCUUUUACCACUCACGAAGGCCCCUGGUUUUCUGGGGGUUGACGGUAGGUGGUGAAUAAGGACCGGCUAACUACGUG
rnacentral:rRNA from 1 species